CCUACGGGAGGCAGCAGUGGGGAAUAUUGGACAAUGGGGGAAACCCUGAUCCAGCAAUGCCGCGUGAGUGAUGAAGGCCCUAGGGUUGUAAAACUCUUUCAGAAGUGAAGAUGAUGACUGUAACUUCAGAAGAAGCUCCGGCUAACUCCGUGCCAGCAGCCGCGGUAAUACGGAGGGAGCUAGCGUUGUUCGGAAUUACUGGGCGUAAAGAGCGUGUAGGCUGUUAGGUAAGUCAGAGGUGAAAUCCCUAAGCUCAACUUAGGAACUGCCUUUGAUACUAUCUUACUAGAGAUCGAGAGAAGUUAGCGGAAUUCCAAGUGUAGAGGUGAAAUUCGUAGAUAUUUGGAAGAACACCAGUGGCGAAAGCGGCUAACUGGCUCGUAUCUGACGCUGAGACGCGAAAGCGUGGGUAGCAAACAGGAUUAGAUACCCUGGUAGUCCACGCCGUAAACGAUGUGUGCUAGCCGUUUGUGAUUUAUCGCAAGUGGUGCAGCUAACGCGUUAAGCACACCGCCUGGGGAGUACGAUCGCAAGAUUAAAACUCAAAUGAAUUGACGG
rnacentral:rRNA from 1 species